rnacentral:rRNA from 1 species
UGGGGAAUUUUGGACAAUGAGCGCAAGCCUGAUCCAGCCAUGCCGCGUGAGUGAAGAAGGCCUUCGGGUUGUAAAGCUCUUUCAGUUGGGAAGAAACGAUUGCAACUAAUAAUUGUAAUUAAUGACGGUACCGACAGAAGAAGCACCGGCUAACUACGUGCCAGCAGCCACGAUAAUACGUAAAGUGCGAGCGUUAAUCAAAAUUACUGGGCGUAAAGGGUGCGCAGGCGGUUUUGUAAGUCAGAUGUGAAAUCCCCAAACUUAACCUGAGAAUGGCGUUUGAAACUGCAAGGCUAGAGUGUAGCAGAGGAGAGUGGAAUUCCGCGUGUAGCAGUGAAAUGCGUAGAUAUGCGGAGGAACACCGAUGGCGAAGGCAGCUCCCUGAGCUAACACUGACGCUCA